rnacentral:rRNA from 1 species
GACGAACGCUGGCGGCGUGCUUAACACAUGCAAGUCGAACGGAAAGGCCCUGCUUGCAGGGUACUCGAGUGGCGAACGGGUGAGUAACACGUGGGUGAUCUGCCCUGCACUUCGGGAUAAGCCUGGUAAACUGGGUCUAAUUCCGGAUAGGAGCCAUUUUUAGUGUGAUGGUUGGAAAGUUUUUUCGGUGUAGGCUGAGCUCGCGGUCUAUCAGCUUGUUGGUGGGGUAAUGGCCUACCAAGGCGGCGACGGGUAGCCGGCCUGAGUGGGUGGACGGCCACAUUGGGACUGAGAUACGGCCCAGACUCCUACGGGAGGCAGAAGUGGGGAAGAUUGCACAAUGGGCGCAAGCCUGAUGCAGCGACGCCGCGGGGGGGAGGACGGCCUUCGGGUUGUAAAAUACAUGCGCUAGGGACGAAGCUUUUUGUGACGGUACCUAGAUAAGAAGCACCGGCUAACUACGUG